rnacentral:piRNA from 1 species
UGAAAACUCAGAACUGGAAAA